AUUGAACGCUGGCGGCAUGCUUUACACAUGCAAGUCGAACGGUAACAGGCCGCAAGGUGCUGACGAGUGGCGAACGGGUGAGUAAUGCAUCGGAACGUGCCCAGUCGUGGGGGAUAACGCAGCGAAAGCUGUGCUAAUACCGCAUACGAUCUAUGGAUGAAGGCGGGGGACCGUAAGGCCUCGCGCGAUUGGAGCGGCCGAUGUCAGAUUAGGUAGUUGGUGGGGUAAAGGCUCACCAAGCCAACGAUCUGUAGCUGGUCUGAGAGGACGACCAGCCACACUGGGACUGAGACACGGCCCAGACUCCUACGGGAGGCAGCAGUGGGGAACUUUGGACAAUGGGCGCAAGCCUGAUCCAGCAAUGCCGCGUGCAGGAAGAAGGCCUUCGGGUUGUAAACUGCUUUUGUACGGAACGAAAAGGUUUGGGUUAAUACCUUGGGCCGAUGACGGUACCGUAAGAAUAAGCACCGGCUAACUACGUGCCAGCCGCCGCCGUAA
rnacentral:rRNA from 1 species